AGCGCCAAUAGCGUAUAUUAAAGUUGUUGCAGUUAAAAAUCUUGUAGUUGGACUUCUGGUGGGAGUGACAGGUACCGCUCUCAGCAUGAUUACUUGAGUUGUCUCCGGCUAUCCUUGGGAAGAGUCAAUCUGGCAUUAAGUUGUUGGGCUUGGGAUGCCCAUCGUUUACUGUGAAAAAAUUAGAGUGUUCAAAGCAGGCUUAUGCCGCUGUUAGCAUUGAAUAAUAAGAUAGAACCUUGGUAAUAUUUUGUUGGUUUGUGCACCAAGGCAAUGAUUAAUAGGGACAGUUGGGGGUAUUCGUAUUCCAUUGUCAGAGGUGAAAUUCUUGGAUUUCUGGAAGACGAACUAUUGCAAAAGCAUUUACCAAGGAUGUUUUCA
rnacentral:rRNA from 1 species